GAGCGCAGCCCGGCGACGCGCGGUGGUGGACCUGGUGGCGCCGGGCGAGGGGCUGGCAAGGGCCAGUGAAGACCCAGAACCCAGCAAGACCCAGGCGCCCCCCGAGACGCGUUCUACAAUGAGGCCUUAGCGGGCACUCAUGGCAGAAGGUCCUCAACAGUGACUAACUCCACACAACCCUACUGGCUGGAUGAUCUGAUAUCCAGGGAUGGAGGACCAAGAACUCGGUAUUCCCACAAUCAUUUCCAUCAGUAUGAACUCUGAGGGAUUCUGAGCAAUGUGAUGUGUGUGAAGACUUGUGUAUGUUUGUGCUGUUUCUCAGGGGUGUGAUUGGGUCAUAUCUAGUAAGCAGUGUGCUAUGGCUUAAGGCUUUCCCGUGUCCCAGCACAUGUGGAGUGGCACUACCCAGUAUGAGUUCUCUGGUGCUUGGUAAGGGAGGAGCUGUGUGUGAAGGCUUUCCCACAGUCCCUGCACUCAUAUGGCUUCUCUCCCGUAUGGAUCCUCCGGUGCUGAGUGAGGUGGGUGCUCUGCCUGAAGGAUUUUCCGCAAUCCUGGCACUCAUAGGGCUUUUCCCCUGUGUGUGUCCUCUCAUGCUGGCUGAGUGAAGAGCUGUGGCUGAAGGAUUUUCCACAUUCAUUGCACCCAUAGGGCUUUUCCUUGGUGUGAAUCCUCUGGUGUUCUAUGAGGAGGGAGCUCUGGCUGAAGGCUCUGCCACACUCAUUACACUCAUAGGGCUUCUCUCCUGUGUGGAUCCGCUGAUGCUGAAAGAGUGGAGCCAGCUGGCUGAAGGCUCUGCCACACUCGUUACACUCGUAGGGCUUCUCCCCGGUGUGGAUCCGCUGAUGUUUGGUCAGAGACGAGCUGUGGCUGAAGGCCUUGCCACAGUCACCGCACUCAUAAGGUUUCUCCCCAGUAUGGAUCCUCUGAUGUUGAGUGAGGUGUGUGCUCUGCCGGAAGGCCUUCCCACACUGACUGCAUGCAUAGGGCUUCUCCCCCGUGUGUGUCCGUUCAUGCUGGCUGAGUGACGAGCUGUGACUGAAGGUCUUCCCACACUCAUUGCACCCAUAGGGCUUCUCUCCUGUGUGGAUCCUCCGAUGCUCGGUCAGGAGCGUGCUUUGGCUGAAGGCCUUGCCACACUCGCUGCACUCAUAUGGCCGCUCGCCUGUGUGUGUCCUCUGAUGCUGAAUCAAUGGUGUGAUCUGGGUGAAGGCUUUUCCACAUGCUUGGCACUCAUAUGGUUUCUCCCCAGUGUGGAUCCGCUGGUGUUUGGUCAGGGAUGAGCUGUGGCUGAAGGCCUUGCCACACUCUCCACACUGGUAGGGUUUCUCUCCAGUGUGGAUUCGCAGGUGCUGGGUGAGGUGGAUACUUUGUCGGAAGGCCUUUCCGCACUGACUGCAUGUGUAGGGCUUCUCACCCGUGUGUGUCCGCUCAUGUUGGCUGAAGGAGGACCUAAAACUAAAGGAUUUCCCACAUUCACUGCACUUGUAGGGCUUUUCACCCGUGUGAGUUCUCUGGUGCUGGGUCAGUGGGGCAGUUUGGUUGAAGGUCCUUCCACACUGAGUGCAUUUGUAAGGCUUCUCACCAGUGUGGAUUCUCUGGUGUUUGCUAAGUGCUGAGCUAUUUCGGAAGCCUUUCCCGCAUUCGUGACAUUCAUAAGGUCUUUCUCCCGUGUGUGUUCGGUGAUGUUCAAUGAGUGCUGAGCUGUGACUAAAGGCCUUUCCACAUUCCUGACAUUUGUAGAAUUUCUCUUUUGCAGAGAUUUUCUGCUGAGCAUUUGAGUGCAGAGUCCCCCUUUUUCCAUGUGUUCCCCACAUGGGAGGGCCUUGCCUUUCAGGAGUCAUUGGUUGAAUUGGGAGAUCAGGGCUCAGACUCAAGGUGUCCCCAAACCCAUUCCCCUGCUGCUGCUCCUGAGUGGGUGUCUUCACAGGCAUGAAGGCCAUGUGCACCGCAUGGCUGUCUGGCCUCUUGCAACUUUGCUCCCAGGGGCCCUCAGCAUCUUCACCCUUAGAGUGCCACAGACUUUCCCAGAGGAAGCUUUUUACCAGGGCAUUGCUGGGUAUUUCUUCAGUUAUGUCUUGCUUUGCAGUUGAUAGUUUGGUUUGGGGUCUAGCUUCCAAGUCUGAAAGAAACAGAAAAAUGGAAAUGUCCCUGAAUCCCAGUUCUAGGAGAAGAGUUUAGGGUGGGUGGGUGGAUAGAAGAAUAAAACCGAUGCUUUUGAAAGGUCCAAGGCACACAUAUUUUCCCAUUAAAAAUACGUUUUUGCAAAUCAGAAAAGGAAUAGGAGAGAGGGGGAGAAGCAGAGUGCUGAGGACAGAGCAAGCAUCCAGGGAAACUGGACAGACACCCCAGGGCCUGGAGUACCCCCAGCCCAGAACAGAGCUCAGUGGACAUGCUGAACAAACACGUUUCCUCCUCCUCCUUCCUUCUGGCCCUGGUACCCCGCCCUCUGCACAGCCAUGACCUCAGUGUGUGCCAUCCCCACCUUGACACCAGGCUGGCCUAAAGGUGUGAUAUAAGCACCUUUCCCAUUUAUGGUACACUUUAGUGAAAAGUUAAGAAAAAAAAAAGUCAAGCCAGAUGUGUUUGGUGGAACAGUAGCUCCCAAUCAUGUCCACGUUGUAAUCCCUGGAGCCUUGAAUAUGCUAUAGCUUUGCACGUCAAGGAGGCAUUAGGCUGCUCGUCAUCUGCGAUCACCAUGGCUUUCUGGAGCCACUCCAGGGUAACCACUAGAGUUCUUCAAUAUGAAUGAGAGAGGCAGGAGGGACAUGAAGUGAGAAGGCGUGACCAGCCUUUGUUGACUUUGAAAAUGGACAGCACUGUGUGUCAGGGGGUGUGGGCAGCCUCUAGAAGGGGCACAAUGAAAGGAAAUGGGAAAAAAAAAAAAAAAAAAAAAAGGGAAUGGAUUUUCCCACACCCUCCAGAAGAACACUUCUCUGCUGAGAUGGUGACUACAGCCCAGGAAGACCCAUUUUGUACUUCUAACCUCUAGAACUGUUAGAUAAUUUGCGUCACUAAGUUUAUGAUCAUUUGCCACAGCACCAAUUGGGAACUAAUAUACUAAGUAAGAGCUAGUUGUUAUUUGAGGCUAGGGAGACCUUGUUGUGACUCCCUUCUUGGGCCCUGGCAGUGGGCAGCUGCUUAAACGGGGUCAGCGCUAGAUGCCAGAGGGCGGGACCCUCCCCUCCCACUCCCAGCAGAGCUGCCUGCUGGUCUCCAGAGCUGGAUGAGAGGAAUGAAGAGGAGGGCCACCCAGCCAACCUACAGGCACUUGGAAGAGCCCAGCCUGGAUCCACUGGAUCCACUGGCCCACAGAGGCCAGAAUUAUCAGUGAUUGACAUAAACCAGAGACUGCAGUGCUUAUUACACAGCCAGAGCUGCCUGCUGCACCUCACGGAGCCUUGUGCUUGCUGUGUCCUCUGCCCGGAGUUCUGUUCUCCCAGACUGGUUCACGGGCGAGCUGUCCGCACUGGUUCAGGCUUCAGCUCACAUGCCACCUUUGUGGAGAGCUAGCCCUCAUUUCUCCUCGGUCCUUGCCUCAGUCCUAGCUUCUGCCUCGUCUCUGCUUCCAUUUCUCAGCAUUCCUUGUAAUCUGCUAUCAUCUUGUUCGCUGUUGUUAUCAUCAUGUUAGCUACUGAUCGUGUACCCCUCCCUCAGCAAGCAUGUAAGUUCAGUGAUGCUGGGAACUUGGCCUCACCGAGAGCACAGUAGGUGCCGGGUGAGUGUUCCCUGAAAGACCAAGCAGUCAGUUUGCUCUGAGGAAUCCAAGAGCGUUUGCGGGGUGAAUGGGCCUUCACCUCACCGAGCACACACCUCAGGGCCUCCCUCGUCCACCACCCACAGCACCACCUCCUACUCCAGCAGGGAGAUGCCAACUGGCUUGGGGAGCCAGUGUCCUGCUCAGGGGCAGACUGAUGGUGUGAGCAUGUGUCCCAGGACCCUCCUCAAUGCUCUGCCCACUUCUUGUUCAGUUUUCCAGGACCCAAGCAGCUAGGGUUCCCCGAGAGCCCACAGUUGUGGUAACAGCCCCCAACAUUCCUAGGGACACCUCCCCACUCAGUCCCUGACCCCAUCCCAGGCCCCAAGAUGGCCAGUCAGGGCUCUGCUCCUUGCCUUGCCUGCUAGCAACAAUGACCAGCGUGGAGGGGACCUGGCUGCCAAACCGAGACCACGUGGGCCUUGGAUGGGUGCCCAGGACAUAGACCCCACCUCUUCUGCUGGUCUCAAAUGGGGUAGAGGUCCCCUGGUGGCUGUCCUGUCACCUUCGGAGGGGCCCAUCUGUGAAUGGAGGCAGAAGGGGGUGGGGGUGGGGGUUCCCAACAGCACCAUAGGAAGAUGCGGGUCUACCCUUCAAUUCUGUGGUCAUGGGACCCUAUGUCCCUUUUACUUGUAUGUAUGGCUUUCUGCUUCUGGCAUUGCUAGGAGGAUCUGUAAUUCGCAAUCAAAACAUCCUAAGUGAUAUUCCCUGAAGCCCCAGACACUUCCCAGGAAUCUGCUCUUAAGGCCUAGAUCUACUCCUACUUCUAUCCCAGGAAAGUUGGAAUCUGUGCCGGGGGCAGAUCAGGGGCAUGGGGGUGGCCUCACCCACAGA